UACGAAGGGGGCUAGCGUUGCUCGGAAUCACUGGGCGUAAAGGGUGCGUAGGCGGGUCUUUAAGUCAGGGGUGAAAUCCUGGAGCUCAACUCCAGAACUGCCUUUGAUACUGAGGAUCUUGAGUCCGGGAGAGGUGAGUGGAACUGCGAGUGUAGAGGUGAAAUUCGUAGAUAUCAGGAAGAACACCAACGGCGAAGGCAGCUCGCUGGGACGGUACUGACGCUGAGACGCGAAAGCGUGGGGAGCGAACAGG
rnacentral:rRNA from 1 species